GGGUUGUGAGGUUAAGCGACUAAGCGUACACGGUGGAUGCCCUGGCAGUCAGAGGCGAUGAAGGGCGUGCUAAUCUGCGAUAAGCGCCGGUAAGGUGAUAUGAACCGUUAUAACCGGCGAUACCCGAAUGGGGAAACCCAGUGUGAUUCGUCACACUAUCAUUAACUGAAUCCAUAGGUUAAUGAGGCGAACCGGGGGAACUGAAACAUCUAAGUACCCCGAGGAAAAGAAAUCAACCGAGAUUCCCCCAGUAGCGGCGAGCGAACGGGGAGGAGCCCAGAGCCUGAAUCAGCAUGUGUGUUAGUGGAAGCGUCUGGAAAGGCGCGCGAUACAGGGUGACAGCCCCGUACACAAAAGCGCAUGUGCUGUGAGCUCGAUGAGUAGGGCGGGACACGUGAUAUCCUGUCUGAAUAUGGGGGGACCAUCCUCCAAGGCUAAAUACUCCUGACUGACCGAUAGUGAACCAGUACCGUGAGGGAAAGGCGAAAAGAACCCCGGCGAGGGGAGUGAAAAAGAACCUGAAACCGUGUACGUACAAGCAGUGGGAGCACCCUUCGGGGUGUGACUGCGUACCUUUUGUAUAAUGGGUCAGCGACUUAUAUUCUGUAGCAAGGUUAACCGUAUAGGGGAGCCGAAGGGAAACCGAGUCUUAACCGGGCGUUAAGUUGCAGGGUAUAGACCCGAAACCCGGUGAUCUAGCCAUGGGCAGGUUGAAGGUUGGGUAACACUAACUGGAGGACCGAACCGACUAAUGUUGAAAAAUUAGCGGAUGACCUGUGGCUGGGGGUGAAAGGCCAAUCAAACCGGGAGAUAGCUGGUUCUCCCCGAAAGCUAUUUAGGUAGCGCCUCGUGAAUUCAUCUCCGGGGGUAGAGCACUGUUUCGGCUAGGGGGCCAUCCCGGCUUACCAACCCGAUGCAAACUGCGAAUACCGGAGAAUGUUAUCACGGGAGACACACGGCGGGUGCUAACGUCCGUCGUGAAGAGGGAAACAACCCAGACCGCCAGCUAAGGUCCCAAAGUCAUGGUUAAGUGGGAAACGAUGUGGGAAGGCCCAGACAGCCAGGAUGUUGGCUUAGAAGCAGCCAUCAUUUAAAGAAAGCGUAAUAGCUCACUGGUCGAGUCGGCCUGCGCGGAAGAUGUAACGGGGCUAAACCAUGCACCGAAGCUGCGGCAGCGA
rnacentral:rRNA from 2 species